UGAGCACCUCGUUAGGUGAGGCGUCCGCACGGACACAGGCCACUGACCUCGAACGUCGAGAGACGCCCAAGGUCAGGACAGCUCUUCCCGGCUUAAGGGUUGAGCCCAAGUGGCUUCCGGGAGAUCGACCGGAUACGUCGUGCGGUGCUGAAGCUUGGACGAGAGGGGUGCGGU
rnacentral:sRNA from 2 species